AAUCAACGCUGGCGGCGUGCCUCAGACAUGCAAGUCGAACGAUUAAAGCUCUCUUCGGAGAGUGCAUAGAGUGGCGCACGGGUGAGUAACACGUAAGUAAUCUACCUUCGAGUGGGGAAUAACGUCCGGAACGGACGCUAAUACCGCAUAAUGCAGCGGCAUCGCAAGAUGACAGUUGUUAAAGGAGCAAUUCGCUUGAAGAGGAGCUUGCGGCAGAUUAGCUAGUUGGUAAGGUAAUGGCUUACCAAGGCUACGAUCUGUAACCGGUCUAAGAGGACGGUCGGUCACACUGACACUGGAAUAACGGGUCAGACUCCGUACGGGAGGCAGC
rnacentral:rRNA from 1 species